rnacentral:rRNA from 1 species
UACGUAGGUGGCAAGCGUUAUCCGGAAUUAUUGGGAGUAAAGAGCGCGCAGGUGGUUGAUUAAGUCUGAUGUGAAAGCCCACGGCUUAACCGUGGAGGGUCAUUGGAAACUGGUCGACUUGAGUGCAGAAGAGGGAAGUGGAAUUCCAUGUGUAGCGGUGAAAUGCGUAGAGAUAUGGAGGAACACCAGUGGCGAAGGCGGCUUCCUGGUCUGUAACUGACACUGAGGCGCGAAAGCGUGGGGAGCAAACAGGAUUAGAUACCCG